GACGAACGCUGGCGGCGUGCUUAACACAUGCAAGUCGAACGAAGAGCGAUGGAAGCUUGCUUCUAUCAAUCUUAGUGGCGAACGGGUGAGUAACGCGUAAUCAACCUGCCCUUCAGAGGGGGACAACAGUUGGAAACGACUGCUAAUACCGCAUACGAUCUAACCUCGGCAUCGAGGAUAGAUGAAAGGUGGCCUCUACAUGUAAGCUAUCACUGAAGGAGGGGAUUGCGUCUGAUUAGCUAGUUGGAGGGGUAACGGCCCACCAAGGCGAUGAUCAGUAGCCGGUCUGAGAGGAUGAACGGCCACAUUGGGACUGAGACACGGCCCAGACUCCUACGGGAGGCAGCAGUGGGGAAUCUUCCGCAAUGGACGAAAGUCUGACGGAGCAACGCCGCGUGAGUGAUGACGGCCUUCGGGUUGUAAAGCUCUGUUAAUCGGGACGAAAGGCCUUCUUGCGAAUAGUGAGAAGGAU
rnacentral:rRNA from 1 species